GGUUGCUGUUACUGGUAUACUCUUGUCUUUGAAUUACUCGGGCUCGAAUAAUGUACUGUCUGAUUUAUAAGCAAACGAUGUGCUGUGAGUAUACCCUACGAGGAUGGUUGAUGCAAGCCCAUGCUUCUCACAAGUUCAAUUCAAGAUCCAGUUGUAUUGCCCGGGGAGCCUGGAGGCGGGAGCAAUGCUGAUGGUCACCACGGCAGUGGGUGGCCGCCGGGAGGCAAUGCACUCGCCGGACGUCAUUCACUUCACCGGCAUUGGUGGCACCAAGGGCGACCACAACCUCCAUGUUGGCGUUGCGUUGUGUGCGCACGCGACAUAGUCUAUGUUUUCAUAGAGGCAGAACAUUAUAUCAGCAUGCAUCGGGAAUAUUCUUAUGAUGGAUUACUUCUUUGGAGUGCAAACGAAGCUGGUGUACCUUGGGAGGUGAAGAAUAAUAAGCUUGAGAAAAUUUUGACAAUCUUAGUUUAAGACUUGCUCUGCAAGGGAGAGUGUUUGUAGGCUUUAUUGCUUUUGUGCUACUCUGCAAGUAUGCUUGUUUCUGCCAGUAUAAGGACAAAUAUUUUUGC